CCCGUCGCCAGUACCGCCAAAUGCAGUCUGGCUGGAAAAGGUGAGGGGAAGGAGCGCACGCAACAGUUAGGGGGGACCGCGCACGUAUCUGGACACUGACAAGGACCCGUAGAGACAAUGUAACAAAUCGUAACGAGUAUUUAUAGGGUGCUCAGUGGGAGUCCAGAGCUUUACCUUAACUACCUCAGGUAAUCUUCACAAUAGCCCUGUGUGGUAUCCUGUUAUUACUGGCAUUUUACAAGCGGGAAACUGAGGCGUGAAGGAGGAGAUCAUCCUGUUUACAUCCUCCCAGUGAAUGAUAACCACUAAACUAAAGCCUGGAGUUUUGGGGGCUCUGAAAUAUGAACUAGAAUGGAAUUUCCACAAGGCUGGUGACUUUGUCUGGAACAUGGCUAUUACUGUGUGGCAUGCGGUAUCUUAAUUCCCCAACCAGGGAUCGAACCUAUGCCGCCUGCGUUGGGAGCACAGAGUCUUAACCACUGGAGUGCCAGGGAAAUCAGAUCUUAUCAUCGUUCUACAAACUGAAAGAGGAUCUUUUGCACAUUGAGAACUUUGGAGAGCGGGAACAGACUAAAUGGUGGAAUUCCAGGGGUGAAGGAUCUUCUUAGUACUCUUCAAAUCCCAUCACCAACUGGGAGGAUGUUUACACUUGGGCUUGGAAGAGACUCCUUCCCAUUUCAGUCACAAACCAGGAGGAGAAAGGAGAAGAGGUUGGGUUUAUUGCAGAGUGCGUCGUGUUGGGUCCUAAGCCCCCAUCCCCAUCUGAAAUUAUGAGGGGGAUGGAGUUGGGUAGGGGAGGGCAGAGCUCUGACCAGAUUUUAAAAGGAUAAGAGGGGCCUGUGCCUUUAAACCCUCCUUUCUCCCUCCAAUCCCCCCUCUUCCCCACCCCUGGCCCUCCCCAGGUUUCUGGAGGAGCUGAGAGUUGCGUCUUCUCCCUGCCCUGCCGAGCUGCUCACUGGCUGCUCUGGAGGCUGUGCUUUGCGGUCUCCAUGGAAACCAUUAGUUGCUAAGCAACUGGAGCAUCAUCUGUGCUGAGCGCUCGCAUCUAAUUAUCCCAUCAUAGCAGCCGAGAAGGGUUUGGGGAGCUGAGAGAAGGGGGAGCUCAAGCGCAGGAGCAAGAGGAUAACUCUUUUAGCAGAGCAGAUUCAUUGACAACGCUGAAGUCAUUUAAAGCCACAGCACCCUCUUCCUCUGGAGGAUUUCCUCAUGGCUUGGAGAAAGGGAACCAGGGCCACAAAUGCCUGGAGUCUCUCUCUUGGACCCACUCUUUCUAGGCUGUCUCCCCCUUGGAUUCUUGAUUCUCAACUCACUCAAGUUCCCUCCCCUGCCUCCUUCCUUCCAAAUCCCCUAGUCAAGACAACAGACAUUUAUUAAAUACCAGUUAUGUCCCUGGAACUGUGCUAAGCACCAGGGAUAUGAAGGUAAGAUAAAAUUUUGCCCUCAAGGAGCUCCUGAUCUCUCUAUUCUGCCACAAAGAUUAGCUCCUAAAACAGAACUACUCUUUCUAAACUGUGGUUCUUCCUUUCUUUCUUCCUUCCUUCCUUCCUUCUUUCUUUUUAAAUUGAACUAUGGUAGUUUUGCAACCAAAAGAGCUCAGAUCAGAACUCAGGUCUGUCUGAUAUACUUAAUGGUUCUCCUUCCCUAAUGCCACUCUUCUGCUUCCCAGUCAAUUAGAACAUGUCCCCUUGGUUCCAUGGGCAUGUCAACUUCUGAUGGGGACUACUGUCCUGUUGAGGAGUGAUACCAUAUGACUUUAGGUGAGUUACUUUGAACCUUAAUUUUCUCACCUGUAAAAUGGGAAGACUCAGUCUUUCCCAUCUAUCUAGUAAGAUAUGACAGGUGUAAAUAUGCUCUAAAAUAAAGGUGCAGAAGGAAUGUUGAGAUCAUUGUCAGAAUCUGUAGGAGCAGACUGGGGGAAACCCUGGCGACUUGGACCUGGGGGUAAGAUGCAGUGCUCACCAAAUGUUGUUCUGGUGGGAAAUGUCAGAGCCUCUAUCCUUGAGAUACUAGGCUGGAAAAAGCUGUGAGAGUAAGAAAAUCUCAGUUGUUCAGUGAUGGAAGACAACUGGAUGCUUCUUUAUUUUUUUCUAAUGUUGCCUAUGAUACAACCACUUGCCUCAAAUCUUCCAGUUUUCUGACCUUGGCUGAGUUACCUACAUAACUACUCUGAGCUGCAGUUUCCUCUUCUGUAGAAAGGGUAUAAAGUCUGUCUCGCCAGGAUACUAUGACUAUCGCUCAAGCUAAUUUAUUUAAGAGUGCCUAGCACAGUAUCUAGUUCAAUUAAUAUUAAUUUAAGUAAUUUAUCUUAUCCUCUCCUUUUUAUUAACCCUUGGUGCAGAUGAAGACUAGAGGCUCAGAGGCAAUAAAUAAUGUUCCCAAGGUCACAGAGUGAGCAAGAAAUGAGGUGGGUUAGAAUUCAGAAUGUGUUUUCCAACCAUGUCAUUGAAGCACAGGGAGAUGGUUGGGCAGGAAAGUUAGUCUGAGAGGGGAGAGUGAUUGAGAGGUGGACAAGCUGCUCCUUGGAUACCACAAAUGCCACAGGGGUACUAGGCAUGCAGGAACUGCCUUCUCACACACUUAUUCAUUCAGUAAACAUUUGUCGAACAACUCCUCUAUGGUGGGUACUAUGCUAGGUGAUGAGAUACAGAGAUAACAAGACAAUUCCUGUUCUCAAGUUGCUGAAUUUUGGAGAGUUUCAGAGUUAGCCUUCCUAAGUGGGAUAUUCCAAAAAGAGGGAACAGCACAUGAAAAGGCUCAGAAGUGAAUUAUCCUGACACCUCCUGGGAACUGUGAACCACACAUCUUGGCUAGAAAGAAGUAUUAAAGGAUGGACCUGGUGAGAGCACUAGCUACCCGGUUGGGUCACCAAUGGCUUUGUAUGUUAUGCUAAGGAGCUUGGUUUUUAGGCUGAAGAAAACAGAAAGCCUUUGAGGUGUUUUACUUGCUUAAAGAUCAUUCUAGAAACAGUGUGGAGAAUGAAUUGGCAGUGGGUAAAAGACUGGUACGUUGUGUCAGCGUUGGUCUAUGUGGCCAAUAGAAUAUGACAGAAGUGAUGGUAGGUCACUUCUGAGAGUAGGUCCUAAAAGGCAUUGCAUCUUCCUCCUUGCUCUCAUGGAUUGCUCACCCUGGAGGGCAUGGGAGCACCUCCAUGGGGAGGUCCACGUGGCAAGGGAUUGAGGCCUCCUGCCAAGACCCAGAGAGGAGUUGAGGCCUCCAACCGACAGCCAGUGAAUGAGCAAGCUUGGAGGCAGAGCCUGCAGCUCCAGUCAGUCCUUCAGAUGACAGUGGCCCAGGUUGGCAUCUUCACUGCAACUUCAUGAGACACCCGGCUAAGUCUUUCCCAGAUUCCUGAUUCUCAGAAUAAAUGUUUGCUUUUAUAAGCCACUAAAUUUGGGGAUAAGCUGUUAUGCAGUAAUAGAUAACUAAUACCAAUAUCUUGGGCAAGUCAGAUGAAAAUGACAUUUGCUCCAGCACAGCGGGGAGGUCUGGGAUGAAGAGAGGGAAGGCAGGCGAUGGUUAAAAUCAUAAAUGUAGAAAAGAGUCCUUGAAGAGAGUAGUGGAAGGGAAGGACAAGACAACCAAGGACAGGAUUCUGGGAAACACAGUGUCUAGAAGACAGAUGGAGGGCGAGAAGCUGAUGAAGGAGGAAUGAGCAUUAGGAGGAGAACCAGUAGAAAGUGGAUGGAAGGUUUUGCAAAGGAGGUGUCAAACGGUAUGAAGGUCAGGAUUGAAGGCAAGGACUGAUAAAUGUCCCUGAGCCUAGCAUCUUGAGGGGUGUGUGUGUCCUUCAGGGCAGGUUCCUGCAGGUGAGGGGGGCAGAAGCCAGACUGUGAGAGCCCAGGGAUAAGUGGGAGGAGGGAGAGUUAGAACUGUGUAGACUGCUCUUUGAAGAAGCUUGGCUGGGAAGGGAAGGAGACAUAACUGGAGGGAAUUGGGGGUACAGAAAAGUCUCACCUGUUUUGUUUUUAAAGUUAAAGAUACAGGAGAGAGGGAGGUAUAAUUUAUGGGGAGGCUCCUGGAGGAGGGAGAAGAUGGGACUCAGAUCAGAGGUGGAGGCAUUAGCCUUUGGCCGUAGGAAUGACACUUUCGAGAUAGAGAAGAAUGGGGGCAAUGGUGCAGAGAAAUCUUAUACUUUGCGUGGGGGGGGAUUGUGUUGGGAAAGGUUGGGGGAUGAGAGAAGUAAGUUAAGGGAGCUCCCUCCUGAAUGUCUCUGCUUUCCCUGGGAAGUAGGAUACUCGGUGGGGAGAAGGGUUUAGGGCCUAGCUGUUGUGGGAGAGGAAGACACAGCUACAAACAGCCCUGAGGAAGGCUGUGUUUGGAUGUGACAGCCCAGCUCAGCGUGAGGACUACUGGUCUUCAGGGGCACGGACUGUAUUAGUUAGGGUUCUCCAGAGAAACAGCACCAACAGGAUAUGUAUAUAUAGACAGAUUUAUUUUAAGGAAUUGGCUCAUGCAAUUGUGGAGGCUUGGCAAAUCCAAAAUCUGAUGGGGGAGGCCGGCAGGCUGGAGACUCAGGAAAAGAGUUGCAGUUUUUGAGUCCAAAGGCAGUCUGUUGGCUGAAUUCCUUCCUUCUCAUGGGGAGAAGGUGGAGGUCAUCUUUGUUCCAUUAGGGCCUUCAACUGAUUGGAUGAGACCCACCCAUAUUAUGGGGUAAUCUGCUUUACUCAAAAUCUGCUGAUUUAAAUGUUAAUCUCAUCCAAAAAACACCUUCACAGAAACAUCCAGAAUAAAGUUUGACCAGAUAUCUGGACAACAUGGCCCAGUCAGGUUGACACAUAAAAUUAACCAUCCUACUGACCUUGACAUUUUGGGAACUGUUCAAAUUACUCAACAGCUAGAGCAUAGAAAUGAUAAAACUGUCACAUUGUACUGACUCAGGGUUUCCAAGGUAGGGAAAGUUGAGGGUAUUGACAAGAUUCAAGGGAUGGAGAAUAAGAUCUAGGCUAGUUUUGAGAAGGAGUGAUAGAUGUGACAGGAAAGAGGACUGAGCGAGCGGGUGUUCAAUGAGGCCAAGGUAGAGCAAAGGUGUGGGAGAGGUAGAGGAGCAGGAGUGGGGGCCAUCUAGGUGGCUGCUAAGGAGACAAAGCCAAGAUCCUCACUGCAGCUGGAUGGGAUCAAAAUGUUGCUGGGAAUUCCCUGGCGCUCCAGUGGUUAGGACUUGGCACUUUCACUGCGGAGGGCCUGGGUUCAUUCCCUGGUCGGGGAACUAAGAUCCCACAAGCCUCACAGUGUAGCCAAAAAAAAAAAAAAAGUUGUGAGGCCGGCAGGAGCUGAAGAUCCCAGUGUCUCCAGGGUCCAGGCAGAUAACAAAAGUAGUAAAACAAGGUGAGUGAGACUGGGCCAACUAGAAAGACUGUAGCAGCACGAGUUCCAUCUACCGGGCCACCCCAUGCAGCUCUGGAAGAGUUGCCUUGUGGAAGGUGGGGACCUAGUAUGGCCACGCCUCCUCGCUUUUUCACGAGAAGCCAAAAAUCUGAAUUUUUUGGUAAAAUGAUCUUAUUUUCAAAUUUUAAACUAAAUAUAUAUUAGGAAAAUGCACUUUGUGAGCCAAACAAUAUACAUCUUCGAGGCCAGCUUUGCCCUCGGAUCCCCAGCUGUGUCAUCUGGGACACGGUGUUGGAAGGAUAUUUGAGGCUGAGGGCAUAGAGGCUGGAGGGUAUGGAAGCAGCAAGGGGUUCAGCACAGCCAGGACCCUGGGCAGGAGGGUUUGCUGUGGAAGGGGUGGGGUACAGAAGUGAAGGAGCAAUCGCCCUGUGAUUUCCACAGACAGGAGGAAUCUCCGACAGGGUUUGAGUAGGGAAGUCGCAUAAUUCAAUCUAGUUGUAGAAAAAUUACUGAAAGAGUAGGUGGAGGCUUGACUGCGGGGUAAUUAAGCCUCUCCUUAGGCUGAAGGAGAGCUAAUCCGUACAAGAAAUAAUGAUGGCCCGAAUUAAUUUAUUCAAUAAAUGUUUAUUAAAUGCCUUUGCAUCAGUCACUGUGCCAAGUGCUGGACAUUGAUGUGAACGAGACGUUGUUCUCCCUGAAAUUAUGGUCCAGUGGGAGAUAGUGAAGAGGCCACUACUCAUUGCAUCAGGAUUUUAGUAGAAGAUGUAAUAAUAACAGCUGUUAUUUACUGAGUGCUUACAACAUGCCAGAUGCUGUGCUAAAUCCUUUAUGUAUAUUUUCUUGCUUGAUCCUCAUGACAACCUCUGUGAUGUGAGUACUGUUAUUAUUGUCCUCAUUUUAUUAAUGAGGAAACUAAGAUCAGACUCGCCAAAGAGGCUCCUCACAGAAGUGGCAACCUACAUGGGCUUGGGUAGUCCCUAAGGGCUUCCUGGAGGAAGUGGUGAAUAAGUGAAGACCUGAAGUUUGAGUAGGAGUUAGCAGCAUGAAGGCAGG